rnacentral:rRNA from 1 species
UGCCAGCCGCCGCGGUAAUACGAAGGUCCCAAGCGUUAAUCGGAAUUACUGGGCGUAAAGCGCGCGUAGGUGGUCUGUUAAGUCGGAUGUGAAAGCCCCGGGCUCAACCUGGGAUCUGCAUUCGAUACUGGCAGACUAGAGUGCGAGAGAGGGAGGUAGAAUUCCAUGUGUAGCGGUGAAAUGCGUAGAUAUGUGGAGGAAUACCAGUGGCGAAGGCGGCCUCCUGGCUCGACACUGACACUGAGGUGCGAAAGCGUCGGCAGCAAACAGGAUUAGAUA